GAUGAAGGUCUUAGGAUCGUAAAAUUCUUUCACCGGGGACGAUAAUGACGGUACCCGGANAAGAAGCCCCGGCUAACUUCGUGCCAGCAGCCGCGGUAAUACGAAGGGGGCUAGCGUUGCUCGGAAUUACUGGGCGUAAAGGGAGCGUAGGCGGAUAGUUUAGUCAGAGGUGAAAGCCCAGGGCUCAACCUUGGAAUUGCCUUUGAUACUGGCUAUCUUGAGUAUGGAAGAGGUAUGUGGAACUCCGAGUGUAGAGGUGAAAUUCGUAGAUAUUCGGAAGAACACCAGUGGCGAAGGCGACAUACUGGUCCAUUACUGACGCUGAGGCUCGAAAGCGUGGGGAGCAAACAGGAUUAGAUACCCUGGUAGUCC
rnacentral:rRNA from 1 species